rnacentral:rRNA from 1 species
GAAGGGGGGACGGAGAAGGCUAUGUUGGCCGGGCGACGGUUGUCCCGGUUUAAGCGUGUAGGCUGGUUUUCCAGGCAAAUCCGGAAAAUCAAGGCUGAGGCGUGAUGACGAGGCACUACGGUGCUGAAGCAACAAAUGCCCUGCUUCCAGGAAAAGCCUCUAAGCAUCAGGUAACAUCAAAUCGUACCCCAAACCGACACAGGUGGUCAGGUAGAGAAUACCAAGGCGCUUGAGAGAACUCGGGUGAAGGAACUAGGCAAAAUGGUGCCGUAACUUCGGGAGAAGGCACGCUGAUAUGUAGGUGAAGUCCCUUGCGGAUGGAGCUGAAAUCAGUCGAAGAUACCAGCUGGCUGCAACUGUUUAUUAAAAACACAGCACUGUGCAAACACGAAAGUGGACGUAUACGGUGUGACGCCUGCCCGGUGCCGGAAGGUUAAUUGAUGGGGUCAGCGCAAGCGAAGCUCUUGAUCGAAGCCCCGGUAAACGGCGGCCGUAACUAUAACGGUCCUAAGGUAGCGAAAUUCCUUGUCGGGUAAGUUCCGACCUGCACGAAUGGCGUAAUGAUGGCCAGGCUGUCUCCACCCGAGACUCAGUGAAAUUGAACUCGCUGUGAAGAUGCAGUGUACCCGCGGCAAGACGGAAAGACCCCGUGAACCUUUACUAUAGCUUGACACUGAACAUUGAGCCUUGAUGUGUAGGAUAGGUGGGAGGCUUUGAAGUGUGGACGCCAGUCUGCAUGGAGCCGGCCUUGAAAUACCACCCUUUAAUGUUUGAUGUUCUAACGUGGACCCGUGAUCCGGGUUGCGGACAGUGUCUGGUGGGUAGUUUGACUGGGGCGGUCUCCUCCUAAAGAGUAACGGAGGAGCACGAAGGUUGGCUAAUCCUGGUCGGACAUCAGGAGGUUAGUGCAAUGGCAUAAGCCAGCUUGACUGCGAGCGUGACGGCGCGAGCAGGUGCGAAAGCAGGUCAUAGUGAUCCGGUGGUUCUGAAUGGAAGGGCCAUCGCUCAACGGAUAAAAGGUACUCCGGGGAUAACAGGCUGAUACCGCCCAAGAGUUCAUAUCGACGGCGGUGUUUGGCACCUCGAUGUCGGCUCAUCACAUCCUGGGGCUGAAGUAGGUCCCAAGGGUAUGGCUGUUCGCCAUUUAAAGUGGUACGCGAGCUGGGUUUAGAACGUCGUGAGACAGUUCGGUCCCUAUCUGCCGUGGGCGCUGGAGAACUGAGGGGGGCUGCUCCUAGUACGAGAGGACCGGAGUGGACGCAUCACUGGUGUUCGGGUUGUCAUGCCAAUGGCACUGCCCGGUAGCUAAAUGCGGAAGAGAUAAGUGCUGAAAGCAUCUAAGCACGAAACUUGCCCCGAGAUGAGUUCUCCCUGACCCUUUAAGGGUCCUGAAGGAACGUUGAAGACGACGACGUUGAUAGGCCGGGUGUGUAAGCGCAGCGAUGCGUUGAGCUAACCGGUACUAAUGAACCGUGAGGCUUAACCUU